ACUCUGCCCCUGGCUCCACAGCCCCUGGGGUCCUGGCUGCCCUGGGGGAGUUUGAGGCCCCCAGUAGCAGCUACGGCUGGGGCCCCGGACAAACUGGGGGUGUAGGAGCUCUAGGAAAUCAACCCCAGGGAGGCUGCUACGGCUAAACAGAAGCAUCAGCCCCAACCCAGCAGGGCCAGAUGUUCUGCUCUCCCUCCCCCAGUUUCGGCUGCCGGGAGGGUCCCCACCGAGAGUCCCCCCCGACUCCUGCACAGGCCUAGCCACAGGCUCCCUCCCGGGCUGGACCGACCACUCUCCUGCUUGAGGUCCCAGAGAGGCGCUGGCCUGGCCCGGCCCAUGUGCCCCACAAACACCCCUGGCUGCUCCUCCGGCAUCUGUCUUAAAGUGCCAGCCCAGCGUGAGCCCCGCAUCAGCUACCGAGAGGUAUCCAUCCUUACCCCCGACUGCCCAUGGUGCCUACGCGGCAACCUCACAACCGGUCUGCUGAGCUGGGUGGAGGAGAGGUUCCACCCACCCCAGAAGGAGUCCACUCCCAUCCCCUAAACUCCAGGAGCUGCCCUUGGCUGAGGAAGGACUGCAGAGGGCACGGGGCAGGCUGAGCCCAGGGUGGCAGGGGCUGCAUGGUGCCCGGGAUGCCUGGCAGGAGAGAGACCCGCAGCCCAGAAGGCUUCCUCUCCAGGACUGGGGGCCCCUCAGUGCUCACACUUCCCACUAACUGCCAGCAUCCCCUACAACAUGGCCCACGUCUCAAGGGAUUGGAAGGAGCCCCCGCAGAGGCCAUCGGCACGGACUAGAAUGCAACCCAGUGGGGCAUCCACCGAUGUGGUCAAACGCUCAGCCAAGAUGGUGGGAAGCGUUCAGACAGAAGUAACUUCUAAAACAUUGCUAGGGAAACGCUCUGACAUCUUCCGUAGAGGUGAAAAAGCACAGGUCUGACUCAGGUAGCUGCGAGUUCAAGUUCAGCCGCAGGCUCUUCCCCAAGGUGCUGGUCUUCGCAGGAACCCCUUGCAGGCAGCUGCAAAGAGCAGCACGGCGCGCACACACAGGGUCCGGCUGGCGUCUGGCCAGAGCAAGGGAACAGUAAGUGUGUCCUGGAGGCGCUCGCCAUGCACUCACACGCCAUCUGUGGAUUCGGAAGUGACCUCCCCCUCGGUUGAUGAGGGUUCUCUGCGUCUGGAGAACACAGGACGUCCACAGGAAAGUUCUCCCUCCUGCACUCCCGGCUGGCUCUGAAAAUUAUGAAGGCAGAGACGUCCGUGCCUGAUACUGUCCUGGCAGCCACGUGCCCUCAUACACUUGCCCAGACCCUGAAUGUGCUACACGGAGUGACCCCAAUUACACCGUGGGCCCCGGGUGACUGCGACAUCUCUCUUUUCCUUAAAAUAAAGGCUCUAAAAUUGUGUGAUUCCACCUCCCUGAGGCUAAGCGAAAGAGCCGCGUCUGCCCCUGUCCUUCCCGGGGGCUGGCAGGGAGUGGGUGCCCGGCGGUGACUCAGCCCUGCAGCCUCCCAGCCCUUCCCCGUAUGCGGGCAGGUGAUGCGGACGCCUCCGACCCUCGUGGGGUUUGUGGAGAGCGUUGAUCAGCGCUGCCGUCAGAACAGGACCUGUGCGAGGCCUCGCAGAUGCCGGGAGCCGGGCGGUGCUCUCGGUGCUUCUCAUCAAAUCCACUGGCUCUUCGAGAGGAAGCACAUGUCACAGCCCAGCUCAAACAAGAAGCAAGAAAAUCACUCUUCAUUUUGGAAUUGUAAAAUAAAGUAGAAAUUAUCCUCA